ensembl:antisense
ACUUCCAUGGGGAUGGAAGUUAGGGCUGGAACUCUGCUGGUCACAGCUCUUUAUGGUAGAUGGGGGAGGCUGUGGCCCUUUAUAACUUAACAGGAAUUUUAAUUAGUUCUCAGAAAACUCUGAUGUUUAUCAGGACUCAAGCAAACAAGCUCUUCUUGGGAGUGUAUUUGCCAACCAGAAGGCUUUGGACAAGUUGGUGAACUGUGGUGAAAUAAAAACCUCCAGCUUGAGAGGAGGGGAGAGAUGCGAGGUCUGCAGGCCCUGCCUUCCUGCUACUGUGGAUAACCUACAGCAAUCCGUCUGUGCCUUGGCUGUCCAAUGGAGGAUGAGAUCAUAACUUCCCCCAAUAAGUUCUUUGUGUGUGCUGUAUAUGAGUACAUGUUUGUGUGUGUGUGUGUGUAAAAAUGUACACACGUAUAUGGAGACCAGAGAUGCAUGCCGGGUAUCUUCCUCAAUCACUUUCCACCUUAUUUCUUUUUAGAUUUAUUUUAUUUCAUGUAUAUAAGUGCUUUGCCUACAUGCAUAUGUGCAUUCUAUGUGUGUUGGUGGUACCUACAUGCAUAUGUCAGAUGAGGACUUUGGAUCCCCUAGAACUGGAGUUUAUGGUUGGCUGUGAGCCACAGUGAGGGUGCUGAGAACCUAACCUGGGUUCUCUGUAAGAGCAGCAAGUGCUCUGACCACCGAGCAAUCUCUUCCACCCUCCACAUUAGUUUCUGAGGUAGGGGCUCUCACUGAAGCUGGAGCUCACUGAUUUGGCUAGGCACUGAGGAACAGAUGCAUACAGCCAUGCCUCACUCCUAUGUGGGUGCUAGGGUCCUCAUGCCGUCACGGCAGGCAUCGUACUGACUGAGGCAUCUCCCAGACCCUUCUAGGUUCUUGUGAGGAUUAAGUGACUGAGGGGCACUUGCCUUGUGGAUCUGUGGCAGAGUGCAUGAAGAGAGAAUGCUAACACCACCAACCUACAGGCAUGGCACACUCACGCUGUCUCACAGCUGACAACAGUAGACACACAUGUAAACCAGGAUCACGCACAGCCAAGCCUCACACACAUGUCAUCUCACAUCAUCUGAGUGAUGAUCAAAUGGUCAGACAGGGGCUCUCAUGAGUGCUCAGUAGGACAAGCAUGCUGAUGGGGUGCGGGAAGGGGGGGCAAGCUUCUCAAAAGCCCAGGAAGGAAGCCGCCCAGGCUGUGCUCUGGCUCAGGGAUGGACCUCCAGGGCCAGGCCUGAUGCUCUCACACCUCAUGCCAUUGCCUCUGAAGAGCCUCUCCGAAGACAGCAGUAUCAGCCCCAUGUGAGGAUGGAGGGGAGGAAAGCAGUGCAGACUGAGGCUCACACAGCCCUUCACAAUGAAGCUGCCCUUGACCCUGCCCUUUCAACAGCCUCAGUGCUGCCUUAGCCUCUUCUCCCCUGAGCAGCUUUUAUUCCCAGACCUUCUCAUCUGCCACAAGCCUUUGACUGGCAGCCGCAGUAAAUGAAUACCGCUGAAGAGAGAUAAGAGCAGGCAGAGACUAUGGAGAAGAGACUCCACCACAAAGGAAGCAGAGUAAUCAAGCAUGGAAUGUCCUCGGUUGCUCUGUCAGCAUUCUGUAUGAGUCUUCAAGGGGCUCUGGAAAUGCCAGCAGCCAGAACCUGACCCAGCUCAGACAGCUGGUACAGAGAGCUCAGAGUUCUCAUAACUGAUGCCACUUUUGUUGGUUCUAAAAGAAACAUGCAUGUCUCUGCUCUGAAAGACACCACCUGCGCCUCCCAAAUCUGCUUUAUUCCAGCCACGUGGUCCAGGGCUUUUAAAUUCUGCCAAUAAUCUUGGCUAGGGCUGGUCUAGAGCAGUUGGGUAGGGUGACAGAGCCUCACAACCGGAGGGCCCGGAGCCAAGUCCCAUGAGUGCAGGUAAAUGGGCAAACACCUGAUCCAGUCACUUAAAGCUCACAGAAGCUGGAGACUCCCUCCACCAGCAGACAGGGCAGGAUUUGGGUGCAAAGCACCGAGGUACAGACUGCUCCCAGCCUGUUCUGGCAUGUGAAUAAUAGCCAAACAGCAGCUAGGGGAAGAGGCUGUUUACUUGAGUUCAAACUAUUUAUAGCAUCAGCAAUCUGCACAUAUUUGGAUGACAAAUCUCUGGGUUUCAAGUGAGCCGAGCUUUGCUCCUGGACAAUUUCAACAAACACAUUCCCUCCCCACGCCACCCCCAGGUCCCCCAACACGUGUUGCCCUCAGGAUGUCUAACUUGAGUUGCCGAGCUUCUAAAGAUUAUAAAAAGAAAUCACAUUUCAAGAGCAUGUGACUUUUAAUUCAUUUAUCUAUGGGUUUGAAAUACAUAAUAUUUCCUUUAAGGCUUGGAUCAUGAAUCUCAAUCCAUGCACAUUCUUUAAUAGUUUCCAAAGAUCCCAUAAACUGCCAACAGUAUCUGAAUGACUAUAAUCAGCAUAUUCUGCUAAAACGCUGUCGUGCCCAGCUCAAGACCUACACAAAGAACAUUUCUUAUGACACAGUUUGUGUAGGAGGAUAAAGGUUUUCAGAAGUGAUCUACAAAUAUGUAACCACACAGCCGUGCCAAACACACAGCAGAAGCAUUCCCCACCGACUGCAGAGCAGAAGCAGUCAGUGCAGGAUUGCAGAGGCCCCUGGAGCUCACCGCAUGCCACAUGGCAGAAAGGUGGGCUGCAACAAAAGGCAUGCAGAAACUUCUGCAGCUUUAACUCACCAACAGCAUCGCCAAUGAGUCCGUUUGGGAAAACUAGCUACCUCUAAAAGCUGCUUUGCUUUUAGAACUAGGCAUUGUCUCACUCUGAAGCAAGAAAAAUGGUGGUUGUUAGGUCCAUAUGCAGGAUGGCUGCAUUCAAACGUAAACAGCUGAUCAGUGAGAGGAGUGGUGCUAGACCAGCAGUGUAUGGAGAGGGAACACGGCUUGUCUUUGAAAGGACUGUCCUGUUUCGUAAAUCAUUCCUCUUGCUAAUAACACUUACUAGAAGAUAAAUGAAAGGUUC